CGUGAACCUUUACUAUAGCUUGACACUGAACAUUGAGCCUUGAUGUGUAGGAUAGGUGGGAGGCUUUGAAGUGUGGACGCCAGUCUGCAUGGAGCCGACCUUGAAAUACCACCCUUUAAUGUUUGAUGUUCUAACGUGGACCCGUAAUCCGGGUUGCGGACAGUGUCUGGUGGGUAGUUUGACUGGGGCGGUCUCCUCCUAAAGAGUAACGGAGGAGCACGAAGGUUGGCUAAUCCUGGUCGGACAUCAGGAGGUUAGUGCAAUGGCAUAAGCCAGCUUGACUGCGAGCGUGACGGCGCGAGCAGGUGCGAAAGCAGGUCAUAGUGAUCCGGUGGUUCUGAAUGGAAGGGCCAUCGCUCAACGGAUAAAAGGUACUCCGGGGAUAACAGGCUGAUACCGCCCAAGAGUUCAUAUCGACGGCGGUGUUUGGCACCUCGAUGUCGGCUCAUCACAUCCUGGGGCUGAAGUAGGUCCCAAGGGUAUGGCUGUUCGCCAUUUAAAGUGGUACGCGAGCUGGGUUUAGAACGUCGUGAGACAGUUCGGUCCCUAUCUGCCGUGGGCGCUGGAGAACUGAGGGGGGCUGCUCCUAGUACGAGAGGACCGGAGUGGACGCAUCACUGGUGUUCGGGUUGUCAUGCCAAUGGCACUGCCCGGUAGCUAAAUGCGGAAGAGAUAAGUGCUGAAAGCAUCUAAGCACGAAACUUGCCCCGAGAUGAGUUCUCCCUGACUCCUUGAGAGUCCUGAAGGAACGUUGAAGACGACGACGUUGAUAGGCCGGGUGUGUAAGCGCAGCGAUGCGUUGAGCUAACCGGUACUAAUGAACCGUGAGGCUUAACCUUACAACGCCGAAGGUGUUU
rnacentral:rRNA from 1 species